ensembl:rRNA 5S_rRNA 5S ribosomal RNA
GCUCACGGCCAUACCAGCCAAGGAACAGCCAAUCUCGUUUGAUCUCGGAAGCUUAGAAGGCUGGGCCUGGUUAGUACUUGGAUGGGAGACUUCCUGGGAAUACCAGGUGCUGUAACCU